AUGCACAUUACCUGGGGAUCUUGUUAAAAUAUCAAUUCUGAGUCUAGGCUGGAGCCCAAAAUUCUUAACAAGUUUCUAGAUGAUGCAGAC
rnacentral:miRNA from 1 species